CUCUCUUUCUUUUAUUUUAUUUUCUUUCCUUUGCGACGAGUAUAGUAGUAACUCUCGACGGGUUCUCUCGACAGAUUCUACACGACUUUACGAAUACGUGGCCGAUUCUUCCGCGAGUCGUGCCGUUCGCGUGACUUCGUUUGGGCUUUCGAGAUGGUAUAUCCGGGAGACGAUUUAGAGACGAAGCUUCGACUCCCACGGCCUGACUUCCGUCGAAUUAUUUAUUACAUCGUUAUCGUAUUCCUCAGUUUUAUUAUGCUUCCUAGAAAGAUUAUUUUGAUUUUCUAUUACUAAGUUGCACGAUGCUCGUAGUAUACUCUUAAGAAUAGUUAUCAUCUAAUUUGACUUUCUAAAAUUUUAUUUAGGAAAUUAAUCAGUAGAUUAUUAUCCACGUAUAUUAACGUAACGAGAUGUAAUAUUAGUAAUAAAGAAUCCUUAUUACUCGUUUGAUAACGCAAAAGUAUUUUAAUUGAUAAAAAAUUUGCUUUUUCUUUUUCUUCUUCUUUCUUUACAUUUUAUUAUAUACUAGUGCAGUAAAAUAAAUCACUUAUUAAACAGAAUUAAGUAAUAAAAAUACGUCGUAUAAACUAAUGGACAUUCUAUAUUGCAUAUUCUAUGCACUUUCUAUUCGAUUAUUUAAUCAUCGCAUUUCUCAUCGAAUUAAUCGACAUUCCAUUUAACUACAUUCACUAGUAAAUGACUACAUUUUCAAAUCGUUUAGAGAUAGACGCAAGGUAGAGUUUCUAUUCCAUUUUGAGCGUGUAUUUUCUUAAGAAUGAAAAAUUAGUGGUAAUUCACGUACUUUCGUGAAUAUAUAGAUAUCUACUUAUCUAAGGUAAGGAAAGAACAUCGUUAAACUAAAUUUUUUUUCUGGUACCUCGUUAAAGGAACGAGUGAUAUAAUCAUAGCAAACGUUAUCGGUACUCGUCGUUUGUUCGUUCCAUACGCAACCAUAGUCUCUUCCGUAUAUUCUUAUUCUCUCUCUCUCUCUCUCUCUCUCUCUCUCUCUCUCUCUUUAUUUCUCUCUCUCUGUCUGUCUCAUAGUAUGUAUUAUUCGUGUUCGUGAGGCAGCUAUCCGCCGGAAGUAUCGUAACGACACGUCUCCCAUUCACAUGCACCGGUAUACUGUUUCAUGAGAACUGUGACGCCGUGGAAAAGGGUCAUGUGAACGUGUCAUGGGCAGUCACCGUAUACUUGCAUUAUGAAUCCGAGCUAUUCGUGGGACGUUGACCGAAACAAAUGGAUAAAUACGUUUAUCCCGAUUUAUUAUCCCUUUCUUCUUUAUCCUCGAUUAUUCUACUUAUUAUAAUCACAUUUAUCAAUUGAUUCGUUUCAAUCGAUCGAUGAAAAUAACAUAAUAAAACAUAUGUUAAUAUAUACGUAAUACUUUUCAAUAUAAAUAUAUUUCUUACUAUUCUCGAAUAAUCGGAAUAAUUGAUAUAAAUUAAUUUCUAUUUUCGAACUGAUUUAUCAAUGUUUCUUUCUUUUUUUUUUUUUAUUCGUACAGUUAUCACAAUUUAUGAUACAAUGUUAUUACAUUGAUUAAGGAAAAAAUAGAUAGGAAGAAAAUAUACAGAUUUGUCCUAGAGGAGAGAGAGAAGGAGAGUCACGUUGAUCGAUGACUCGAUAAAGAACUAUUUAAAGACAUACAUCGUCGUUAUCUCGAAACGAUACGUAGUACGUUCUAGAGAAAGAAAGAUAAAAAUAGAGAGAAAAAGAGAGAAAGAGAGAGAAAGAAAGAAAGAAAGAGAGGAGUUACGACGAAGCGAAUGUUGUUUUGCGGUGGGUCUUUGGACUUUCUCGUCGCUGCUACUAACGCAGCAUCCAUAAUGGAACCCGCAAGAAUUUCUUGAGAGCGUCGUUAAAGCAUCGCUGUAUAUUAUCCGCGAAGGUGCCGAGACUUUUUCAUCUCGUUCAGUGUCGUCAUUAAAGAUAAAGAGUUACUAGCGAAUAUCUACGAAGGAGUAUAGGGUAUAGCAAAAGAAAGAAAGAAAGAAAAAAGAAGAAAAAAGAGGAAGAAUCGUAAAUAUUCCAGUUUCAGGAAUGCGAACAGUUUAGUCUAGAACUGAGGUAAUGCUGAGAUCAGUGUAAGAAGAAAAAGAAGAGGUGAAGGAGGAGCAGAAGGAAGAGUAGGUGAAGGAGGAUGAGGAGGAGGAAAGGGUUCCACGCUUGGGAGAAGCCGACGCGCGCCAAUCCCCUCCACGACACGCGAGAUCGUGCGCGACGACCCGUGCCGUAUUAAGCUUCCUUCACAAUGAUUUUAUUCAUCUUCUUUGUUCUUCUCUUCUUUUUGUUUUUUGUGUUUUUUCUUUCUUUUUUUUCUUAAUACUUUAUUCAUCAUUGUUAGGCAUAAAUAAUUAGUUCGAAGAAUCAAAAGGGUUGCUGAAAUCAUAUCGUUGCUUGUUUAUAAUCAACCUUUCGUUAUAAAUUUUUAAUAUAAUUUUUGUUAACUCGUUUUUAAAUGAUUUAUUUUUUUCUUCGUGUCUUUAGGAACUUUUUUUUUUCUUAAUUUCCUAUGAAGUUCGAUUUUUUAUAAUUUGUAAAGUCAUCGCGAAGAGAAUGUGCAGACAGUAAAGGUUCUUUCACAUCGAUUUAUACUUUUUUUCUCUCAGAUAAUAAAUAUAUUUAAUUUAAAUGAAUUUAAAAGGAUUCGACAUUUCCAAGCAUAGCAGUUCUUUGAAAUAAAGGUAACUUGGUUCUGACAUAA